rnacentral:lncRNA from 1 species
GGGGAUCGAACUCGGGUCCUUGCAUUUGCGUAGCAGGUGGUGAAACUGCUGAGCUAAAUCCCCAGCCCCAUUGUUCCACAAUUCUUCUUGCUCUGAGGAGGAAGCCUAGAGGCCCUGUACAAGUUGCCACUCUCUCCUAGUGUCUCUGUCAUUGAGGAAUGACAAGUUGCUAUGGAUUCUUCAUCAUAGACUCAUAGUGAUGGAUGUCCAGAGUCCCUAGGACUCUAGGGGACACAGAUAUGGGAUAGAACAGAACUUGCAGUUUUACAAAACCAGGAUUUGGGGCUCUUGAAUAUAGCCAUUUAGUAUAGUACUAUAAUUAUUGGUCAGUUACCCGCCCCACCUCCCACAAAUGUCUAAAAUGUUCUGCUUUGAUCACCAGGUCCAAGGCUCUGUUGGGCUCUUGAAUGAUUCUAAUUCCACCUUUGUUGGCCCAAGACUCUCCUUACCAUGCCACCGCCAUACUUUCCUCACUGCUGACCUUACACAUCAUCACCACUCAAAGGAUGAGCAGGCUCCUGCCUCCAUCCAGUUUGCACUCUUGUUCCUGGGCCUUGGAGCUGUGCAGCUGUUGUCAGCAAUGAUGUGCUAUGGGCAGCGGAGCUACGACAGGAUGACGUGCACCCAUGUUCCUCAAGCUGCAGCCACAGGGUAGAGCUGCCAGGUCUUUGCUUGGCAAAAGCAAAAUGUAAAAACUAAUUAAAUGAUAUAGCUUACACAUGUGGCAUGGUUCCACAUAUUUCAUGUUCUCUGACUCCAGUAUGGGUUUGUCUUUGCUUGUCUCUUUUUGAUCCAACACCCUCUUCCUUCUUCCCACCCUGUGGGUGCUUCACACACAAUUCUGUGCAAACUUCUUUUCCUUCUCCUUUCUCCUCUUACCACAGGGUUCAAUUGCUCUUGGGGAUCUACUUCAGGGAAUCUCUGACAUCUCCCUAUUACAAUGACUCCAAGGUGCCACUUCCUUGCUUUCUAGCUGCUGAGGAACUAAGGACUGGGCCUUAUUAACAGGUUGAAAGAAUAUUAGCAUCACUCAGACAACAACCAUUUUAGAGGGCCUUACCGAAAAAAUGCAGUUAAUGAUUCAAAGGGAGGAGCAGCUGCCUCUGGUAUGCGGGAAUAUAGCAAGGCAGGGCAGAUGGACUACUUACUUCACUGAGGGUAGUUCAACUUCAGUGUUUCAACUAAAAUUUCUUCAAUGGCAAGAUUAUAGAAACCAUAAGAAGGCCUUUAAAAAUCCAUUAAGUCAUGAAAAAGUAAUGAGUUAUACUAUUAUCUAGCCCAAAGGUAAUGCUCCCUCUGAUACAUACAUCUGUGUAACUCAAGGAAACCACGUUCUUGGUCAUACAACAAAAGGCAAAUGAGAAAAGCAUUGGGAAAGAUUAUGUCAGUGUCUUUACUUUGGAUUCCCUGAUCUGUGUCCCUUGUUGACAAAUCUCAACCCUGUUGUGAGAUAUCCAGUUCCUUCCUCCUCUCAAACGUGCUAACCCUUUUCUACCCCAUUUCCUGUUCUUUUAGUGGGUGAAGUGAAAAAACAUUUUUAAAUGAAUAGGAAUGGGUAGGGGGUGUUGGAAGGUAAAUGUACGGGGUUAUACAACCAGGUGUGAAAAAUGAUUUUAUUACACUGUACAACGUAAGGAGCACACAAUUUUCUUUUUGUUCUAAACGCUUUUUCCUUUUUUUUUUAAUUGCAAAGGACUUUCACAACCAAUUUUUUAAAAGGUACUAUUAUCUUGAGCUAUUUAACGUUACACUGAAGCAUUUAAAAAAAUUGUUUUAUUAAGGUAAUUUUACGUAUCUUAGAAUUUAAGCAUAUAAUUCAGUUAUUUUUGGCAAAUCCACAGUUGUACAACCGUUACCACAAACUAAUUUUAGAGCAUUUCUCUAACUGGUAAAAUACUUCUGUGCCCUUUGCAGCCAUGCCCCUUUCCUACCCCUACCCCAAGGCAACAUCACUGUGUACAGGUUUGCCUUUUCUGGACAUUUUAUAUAAAUAGAAUCAUGUAAUAUUAGCUCUUUUGCACCUGGCUUCUUCUCUAUGUUCUAUCUCCUGUAAAUAUUUUGUCCCACUGCAUGAAUAUACCAUAUUUUAUUUACUCAGCAUUUCUUGGUCAUUUGGAUUUUCUCACUUUUUGACUAUUACAAAUAAUGCUGUUAUGAACAUAUUGUUAGUUCUCUUGGCUACAUACUUAGUAGACAUGUUGGGUCAAACGGUACUUUCAUGUAUAACGUUUUAAGAACCUGAUAAACCAUUUUCAAAAGUAGCACACUUUUUCAUUUCCAUAAGCAAUGUAUGAGGGUACUAAUUUCUCCACCUCCUCACCAACACGAUUUUUUUUUUAAUUGCAGCUAUUGUAGUGGGUGUGAAGAACUUUCCCACUGCAGCUUUAAUUUGCAUUUCCCUAAGUGACUAAUGAUGUUGAACAUUAAUUGUUGAUCAUUUACAUAUCUUCUUUGGUAAACCGUCUUUAUUUUGGUUCACAUUUUAAUUGGAUUAUUAGUCUUUUUAUUAAGUUGUAACAGUAAUUUGUAUAUUCUGGAUACAGAUCCUUUGCCAGAUAUAUGAUUUGUAAACCUUUUCUCUCUAGUUAGGGUUUUUCUUUGGAUACACUAUUUUUAAAAGACAUGUUUAUUUCAAAGUGAACUUUCCUUGUAAACAUUAAGAGGCUAACAACUGACUCUGCUUCUACAUAUUAUAUAAAUACAGUACUUUUAAAACGGUGCCUUUUAUUUUCAAAUACAGUACUUGGAAGAUGUAGAUGAUCAAGAAACAGGACAGUAAAAUUCCCGAGAUAAUCCUCUGUAAAAUUUCUUGCUUAGUUUUUCGGUUAUGUGAACAUGUACUAUACAAUUUUAUUUUCACAUUUAUUUAUUUGUGGCGCCCGGGAUGGAAGCCAGGGUCUUGCUCAUGGUAGGAAUACGCUGCAUCAUUGACCUACACUCCCAGCCUACAUGUACAGCAUGUAUUUAAAGGUUUAAGUACAAAUAGAAGAGGCUCAUCUUCCUAGCUCUUGGUUGGCAAGCAGUAAGAUACAAACCUUUUGAACGACUUAAUUUAGUAAAAAAGACUGCCGGUUAAGCCCCGCGUGGAAGAGGACUGAGGUUCUGUCUUCUACCCUUCAAGAAGGGUGGGCCUGGGCAUUGAGAAUGAGCGCUUCCCAAAGGGUGUAGUGGAAAGGCCCUUCUCAUGUCACUGCGCAGGGCACUUUAUCCCCAAAGUCCCCAUUCUGCCGGGGGCCCCGACAUACGUUUGUUUUUCGGUCCCCGAGGCGCGGCUGCCUUUUCCGGCCCAGCCUGGGUCCCGGGCUCCGCAGGCCUGGACUAGGCGCCGCCGUCAGAGCCUCAGCUCCAACCCAGUGGAACCCUACAGGUGGCUCCGCCCGAGUGAGGGGCGGCCUCGAGCGCGGCCCCCGGCCGACCGAAGGCUUCUGGGGCGGUGAGGGCAGCUCCAUUUUCUCUCACCGCUUGCGGGGCUCGACGUGAAGCCGUCCAAGUUUUGUUUUACUUGCUGCGGCAGCCUCUUUGUCCGUUCACGGUUCAGGGGAGAAAUCUCUCGGCUCAGGCCGCACCGAGCUUCGAGCGGUCGGGCGGGCGGGAAGAGAAAGCCGAGCGCGACGCCGGAACCUCCCGCCCCGAAGGCCCCGGCAGGCGCGCGGGGGGCUCGCCGCAGGGGAAGGGCCGGCGCAUCCGGG